rnacentral:rRNA from 1 species
UACGUAGGGUGCAAGCGUUGUCCGGAAUUAUUGGGCGUAAAGCGCGCGUAGGCGGGUUCGUAAGUCGAUUGUGAAAACCCUGGGCUCAACCCGGGACGUGCAGUCGAUACUGCGAAUCUUGAGUGCCUGAGAGGAUGGCGGAAUUCCCGGUGUAGUAGUGAAAUACGUAGAUAUCGGGAAGAACACCUGAGGCGAAGGCGGCUAUCUGGCGGUGCACUGACGCUGAUGCGCGAAAGCGUGGGGAGCAAACAGG